AUUUUGUGUGGACUUCACUAACUGCAGAGUUGAUGAGGCACCCGAGAGUCAGCGAGAAAGAGAAAGAAGUCACGCAUGAAAUUUAGAGGCUUUCCUCCUGGCUGCCAUGGCCUAUGACCGCUUCAUCGCCAUCUGCAACCCUCUUCUGUACUCUGUGAGCAUGUCUCACCAGGUCUGUGUGCUGUUAAUAUCAGGAUCCUACUUGUGGGGUGUAGUCAAUGCCAUUGCUCAAACAACCAUGACCUUCAGGUUGCCUUUCUGUGGGUCCAAUGAGAUCAACGACUUUUUCUGUGAUGUCCCCCCACUCUUGUCCCUCUCAUGUUCAGAUACCUUUAUAAACCAACUGGUUCUUCUUGGUUUAUGUGGCUCCAUUAUUGUCAGUACCUUUUUGAUUGUCCUGGUCUCAUACAUUUAUAUCAUCUCAACAAUUCUGAGGAUCCCGACCAUGCAGGGACGCCAGAAAACCUUCUCCACAUGCGCUUCCCACCUAACAGGAGUGUGCUUGUUUUUUGGUACUGUUUUCUUCAUGUAUGCACAACCCAGUGCCAUCUUCUUCAUGGAGCAAAGUAAAAUAGUGUCCAUAUUCUACACUAUGGUCAUCCCCAUGCUGAAUCCCCUGAUAUACAGCCUGAGGAACAAAGAGGUCAAGCAGGCUCUGAGACGGAGCAUGCAGAAGCUGUCUUUGUGAUCACCGUCUCCAUGGAUCUCCUUAGUUAUCCUGGACCUCGCCCCAAAGCGCUGCUACCCAUGGAGGUUAUGUCUUAGGAAUAUGGCAUUCCAGGGCUUCUUAGUUUCUUUCUUGAAGUCUGUGAUCCAGAAGACCAAGGGUAUUUUAAUUGUCUUUAUAUGUUUAACGAUAAACAAAAUCAAGGCUUAUGAGGAAUAAAAUGCAGACUGGCGGAAAAGGUGACAGAAUAGACGGAUAUAUAUGGCUUUUUUGUCUCACAUAUUACAUAGUAUCUUGGUCCAACUCCGUCAGAAAACAAUUAUGUAAAAAUUGUAUAUUUUAUUUAGAAAAUAAAUAAAAUGUUUAUCUUGAAUGUAGCUUACCAAGUACAAAUAUGGAUCCUACACAAAGGAAAAGAAAAAUAAAAUGCUUUAAUAUUUUACCUAAAACAUUUAGAAAUAUAUAAAUUAGUAAUUCGUAUUUUUCAUGUUAAAAAUAAAUAACAAAUUAGAAAAAAUGUUAUUAAAUUCUAUUUUAAAUAGCUUUUAUGGAGGUAUAAUUGACACACAAGAAAUUCGCAUGAAGUGUAUAAUUUGUUAUGUUUUGACUUAUGUAAACACUGGUGUGACCAUUCCCACAAUCAAGAUAAUGAACGUAUUAUUAUGCCAAAUCACACCAACUGGUUCAUUGGUUCCUUCCUAAUGCUUCCCUCACUUUAGCCAUAACCAACCCUCCUCCCAGGAAACAACUGAUCUGCUUUCUGCCACUAUAGAUUAGUGCACAUUUCACUUAAAUUGAACUAUAAGCCAUGUAAUCUUUUUGAGGGGGUGGAAUUAGACUUGGAAUGGUGUAGCUUAUUUUACUUAGUAUAAUUAGUCUGAGUUUUAUACAACUUGUUUCAUACCUCAAUUGUUUGUCAUGUUUAUUACUGGAAAAUAUUCCAUUGUAAGAAUAUACUACAAUUUGUUUAUCGAUUUAUGUGUUCAUAAACAUUUGAGUUGUUUCUAGUUUUUGGCUAUAACAAAUACAGUUGUUGGGCCGAGAGUGGUGGCUCACAUCUGUAAUUCCAGGUGUGAUAUAAAGGAAAAUCUGCAGAAGCAAAUGCAGAAAUAAGUAUCAUGACAUCUUUCUGCUUUUAUCCAAUAUUAACUUAUUAAGCAUCUACUGGGCAUGCUAUCUGAGGAGAAGCACGAAUGAAUAAAACUCAUAUUUCACUUUAAGAAUAUCACAGUACAGUUGGAGAAUUUACUUUCAUAAGCACAACAUCUCAAGAUUUACACUUGGAAGUCAUCACAGUAAAAUCAGAGUAAUAAACAUACAUUGAAACAUUAAUGCAUCAAGGUCUUAACUGCCUGGAUGCAGACACAAUAUUUUAAUUAUGAAAAUUUCACUUUCAGUAGAGGAAUGAAAAACAUGGAAACUGUAAAAAAAAUAAAGAAUUAAUUUAUUUAAUUAAGAGUUUGAGCAAAUAUAAUUUUCUAAGCUCUAAACUGUUGGGAUACCAAAUUGAAUAAACUUUUUUCCUCAGAAAGCUCAAGUAUAGUAAAUCAUUGUUAGAAAUUUAGUAUUAUUAGUGCUGACAUAGGAUAAGUUCAUAUGUAUAGUACCAUGCAAAUUCAAAUUGUGUUCAAGUAUUGAAAACAGGGGGCCAAGGUGGCUUCACAGAAGAGAUGGCACCUCUGUGAUAGUUUAUUAAAUCUGUAUGUUCCCACUCCUUACAGAUUUCUUUAUCUUUUUAAGGGUUCAAAGUCUAGUAACUCUCAUUCCUCGCACAGCAUUUUAGAGAUUAAAAGCUUCCAAUUACCUUGAAUAUAAAAAUAUGUGCUUCUGCCAUCAUAGAUAUAUACUGCUUAAUGCUUUCUUGUACUGAAACCAAUUCAAAGAAAUACGAGAGAAGAAAAAAAGAAAAAAGGGAGAGAGAGUGAAAUUUCAGCUUCCAAUGAGAAGUGAGAUUCUAAAAGAUGGAAUCUUUGAGUCUCAAGCUAUGACUCAAUAUUCUCAAACAUAAUUAGAUAGUUGGUAAAUCCUUUUCUUCUUGGAUAGGAUAUAUUAAUAAGAUAUCUUUAUCCUGACUUAUCCAUGAAGGAAGAAUUAGUAAGUAAGAUGGGGGUGCUCGUAUUAACUUAUUGGACUCAGUAACCAACUAUGAGAUGUGAGUGCUGUUGCCCACUAUAGAAUCAUAAUUAGCAUUUCUCUGACACAAGUGAUCAAAUUUUAUAUUUUGAAUUAAUCAUUUGGGUGUCCUCUUUUGUGAAGUGAUUGUUUAAACCAUUUGCCCAUUUUAGCUGGAUUGACAAUCUUUUCCACUUUUUAAAAGAUAUACUUUAUAUAUGCUGGAUAUAGGUUUGUUUGCCAGAUGUAUACAUGACAAAUAUCUUCUUACAGUUUUGUGCCAUGCUUUUUCUUUUUUUUCUAAUAAGAAUUUUUAUUUUAUUUUAUUUUUUUAUUAUACUUUAAGUUCUAGGGUACAUGUGCACAAUGUGCAGGUUUGUUACAUAUGUAUACAUGUGACAUAUUGGUGUGCUGCACCCAUUAACUCGUCAUUUACAUUAGGUAUAUCUCCUAAUGCUAUCCCUCCCUGCUCCCCCCACCCCACGACGGGCUCUGGUAUGUGAUGUUCCCCUUCUUGUGUCCAAGUGUUCUCAUUGUUCAGUUCCCACCUAUGAGUAAGAACAUGCGGUGUUUGGUUUUUUGUCUUUGUGAUAGUUUGCUGAGAAUGAUGGUUUCCAGCUUCAUCCAUGUCCCUACAAAGGACAUGAACUCAUCAUUUUUUAUGGCUGCAUAGUAUUCCAUGGUGUAUAUGUACCACAUUUUCUUAAUCCAGUCUAUCAUUGAUGGACAUUUAUGUUGGUUCCAGGUCUUUGCUACUGUGAAUAGUGCUGCAAUAAACAUAGGUGUGCAUGUGUCUUUAUAGCAGCAUGAUUUAUAAUCCUUUGGGUAUAUACCCAGUAAUGGGAUGGCUGGGUCAAAUGGUAUUUCUAGUUCUAGAUCCUAGUUCUAGAUCCACAAUGGUUGAACUAGUUUACAGUCCCACCAACAGUGAAAAAGUGUUCCUAUUUCUCCACAUCCUCUCCAGUACCUGUUGUUUCCUGAUUUUUUAAUGAUCGCCAUUCUAACUGGUGUGAGAUGAUAUCUCAUUGUGGUUUUGAUUUGCAUUUCUCUGAUGGCCAGUGAUGAUGAGCAAAACAAGAAAUGGGGAAAGGAUUCCCUAUUUAAUAAAUGGUGCUUGGAAAACUGGCUAGCCAUAUGUAGAAAGCUGAAACUGGAUCCCUUCCUUACACCUUAUACAAAAAAUUAAUUCAAGAUGGAUCAAAGACUUAAAUGUUAGACCUAAAACCAUAAAAACCCUAGAAGAAAACCUAGGCAGUACCAUUCAGGACAUAGGCAUAGGCAAAGGCUUCAUGACUAAAACACCAAAAGCAAUGGCAAAAAAGCCAAAAUUGACAAAUGGGAUCUAAUUAGACUAAAGAGCUUCUUCUGCACAGCAAAAGAAACUAUCAUCAGAGUGAACAGGCAACCUACAGAAUGGGAGAAAAUUUUUGCAAUCCACUCAUCUGACAAAGGGCUAAUAUGCAGAAUCUACAAAGAACUCAAACAAAUUUACAAGAAACAAACAAACAACCCCAUCAAAAAGUAGGCCAAGGAUAUGAACAGACACUUCUCAAAAGAAGACAUUUAUGCAGCCAACAGACACAUGAAAAAAUGUG
rnacentral:sRNA from 1 species